GAUGAACGCUGGCGGCGUGCCUAAUACAUGCAAGUCGAGCGAAUGAUGAGGAGCUUGCUCCUCUGAUUUAGCGGCGGACGGGUGAGUAACACGUGGGUAAUCUGCCUGUAAGACGGGGAUAACUCCGGGAAACCGGGGCUAAUACCGGAUAACAAGAGAAGAAGCAUUACUUCUUUUUGAAAGUCGGUUUUGGCUGACACUUACAGAUGAGCCCGCGGCGCAUUAGCUAGUUGGUGAGGUAACGGCUCACCAAGGCGACGAUGCGUAGCCGACCUGAGAGGGUGAUCGGCCACACUGGGACUGAGACACGGCCCAGACUCCUACGGGAGGCAGCAGUAGGGAAUCUUCGGCAAUGGGCGAAAGCCUGACCGAGCAACGCCGCGUGAGCGAUGAAGGCCUUCGGGUCGUAAAGCUCUGUUGUUAGAGAAGAACAAGUACGUGAGUAACUGCUCGUACCUUGACGGUACCUAACCAGAAAGCCACGGCUAACUACGUGCCAGCCGCCGCAGUAA
rnacentral:rRNA from 1 species